GUUGUAUGGUUAAGUGACUAAGCGUAUACGGUGGAUGCCUUGGCAGUCAGAGGCGAUGAAGGACGUAGUAACUUGCGAAAAGCGUUGGCGAGCUAGUAACAAGCAUUUGAGCUAACGAUGUCCGAAUGGGGAAACCCACUCACAUAAGUGAGUAUCAUUAACUGAAUACAUAGGUUAAUGAGGCAAACCCGGGGAACUGAAACAUCUAAGUACCCGGAGGAAAAGAAAUCAACCGAGAUUCCCCUAGUAGCGGCGAGCGAACGGGGAUUAG
rnacentral:rRNA from 1 species